rnacentral:lncRNA from 1 species
ACAAACCCUUCAUAUUUUGAUCGACAAAAUUCUGCAUAUAGCUCUGCAAGUUCUAAUUUUCCUGUUUUACAACAAGGGAAUAGAACUCUGAUCAAUUCAAAAAUUCAGGGUGAUGCAUCAUCCUCAUCGAAAGCUCUGAAUAUUGGUUCUUCUGUCCAUUUAAAAGACAUUCCUGAAAAUCAUCCAUUAUACAAACAACUGCAAUCUUAUCUAUCAGAUCAACAAAAAACUGCAGAUUCUUUUGCGUCCAUAGUUCAAGAAAAUUCUGAAGAUAAGCCUUCAUAUGAAAAACUGGAUGCUAGAGAACUUAUAUUAUAUAUUGAAAAUCAGCAUAUUCCCGGACAAGAAAAUUCUGAAGAAGCAUGGAGACUACUAAAAAAUUACCUUACUGCCAAUGUAUAUUUUGCUGGCGAAUCAUACAAAACUCGGACUUAUUAUGAACACAUAUUAGUGCAAACUUUCAGUGCAACCUUUGAUCACAGUCCCCUAGGAGAAACUACCCCAGGAGUUCAUGGAUACUCCAAAAUGUUUACCUUCAGUUUAAAUUCAUUUUUAAGUGUUGCUUUGAUUUUUUUUUAAACCUAAUUGUGUGACUUUUUGUGCAUAUUUUGUGGUAUUUUGAGAUUUUAUACUUAAUAUUUUUUAAAUAGAUUUAUAUCGUUUAAUUGACAUAAUUUAUGUUCAUUAGAUUGUGACCUGAUCUAGAAGAAUGCAGCGAGAUGAAAAUUUUCAAGUAAGAUUCGAAGCUUUGUUGUAUUCAGAAAAUAUAAUAAAAUUUAAAUUUUUAAUUUUUAUAAUUAUAAUUGAUUUGGAGUCGUGAUAAAAGCGUUUUGUUUUUUGGCAUUAUAUUAAUAAAUUAUUAAAAUUAAACAUAAAUAAAUAAAGUGUGAAGGUCCUCCUUAGAAAGAACUUAUUGUGAAUCAUUAAAAGACUCUACAAUAAAUAAAAUUGAUAUUUAUUAUUUUUCUCAAUUUUUUGUUUCAUUUUUUAAUUUUAAUUUAUGUUAUUAUAAUUAGUUACGAGUCAUAAUAAAAGUAUUUUAUUUUUUUCUUUUGAAUUAUAUUAAUAGGUUAUUAAUCUUAAUUAUAAAUUAAUAAAGUUUGAAGGUCCUUAAAACAAUAGAGAAAAUUAUUAUUUACUAUUUUUAUUUAAUUAUUUUAUAAUAUUUCUCCUAAAAUAUGUAGAAAUAAUUGUGAUAAAAUAAAUACUCUUAAACCAUGAAAGAUUAAGAAUUUGUAAAAUAUAUUAUAUUAAAGGGUAAUUAAUGUCAAUAUGAAGUAGUUGAUACGAAAUUUUUUUUGGAGACGCGUUAGACAUAAAAUAAUUGAACUCAUAAAUAGAAAUAUAGAAAUACAAAAUUAGAAGGUAGUUUCUAAGGGCUGAUGAUUUCUUUUUCACUUUUAAAGUUGAAACAUUGCUGUCUAAGGAAUGACUUUGUGGUACAAUCAAACUUAUGUACAUUGUACAACAUAAAUAUGAUUAUCUAGAAUUAUUUAGUUAAUUAGAUCUUAGUAUUUUGCUAUUUUUUUUAUUUCCUUUUUUUGUAAUUAUGUGUCUCACACUUUUUUUCUUUUUGAGUCGAGGGUCUAUGGAAAAUAAUCUCUACCUCACAAUAUAUAAGGUAAAAUCUGCAUACAUUCUAUAUUUUUCAGGCUUCAUUUUAAAAUUAAAUUGGACGUGUUGUUCUUCUUUAUUAUGUUGAAAUUAAAUUCUAUAUUUUUUAAAUUUCAUUUUAAAUUAAAUUGGAUGUGUUGUUCUUCUUUAUUAUGUUUAAAUUAACGAUAUUAAAUAUAAUAUUUACUUUUAUUUUAUAAAACAUAUUUAUUUUGCAUAUUUUAUGGAUUAACGUUACACGUAUAUUCAACACAUGUACACUUUUAUAUGUAACUGUUUUGUGUCGGUGUGAUACAUUUGUUAGUUACUUUGAGAAUUAUACUUUUUGUUAUUAAGGAUAAUCUUAGAUCAAAUAAUAAAUUCGUUAUUUUCAAAAACUGAAAUUCGCAUCUACUGUAAGCUUCAUUUUUAUUACACAUAAGUUAGAUAAAUUUUCUUUUUAAGUCACGUAUUAUAUUAAAAUAUUAUUAUUUUAAAUUUGUAUCUUACGAAAUGAACGGCGGCAGCCAAUUUAGUUACUCAUGUCAACAAAUUAGGUAAUAAGCUUGCAUAUGAUAGUGAUCGAAAAACUUAAAGGAAUUUAAAGAGUACGUCAAUCACCUCUCAAUCUUACAUUAAAUGAAUUUUAUAUUAAAAAAUAUUUGGAUUCUUUAUUAUAGUUAAUCCCUAAUUAAAAUGUUGAUUGACGUUUUUUGUAAAAAAAUACUCGACAUAAGUACACGCGCAAAGCAUAUACACUAAACUAGUUUUACCAAUUACGGAUAAUCCUGUUAAAUAACUAAUAAAGAUACAUUUGGGUACUCCUAAAAUUAAUGGGGUAUGGAACAUACUCUUUAGUCACCAUCAACUUAGUCCUAACCUAAUACAAAAAUAUUUUGUUUAGUCCUAAGGUAAAAUUACUAGUACAAUUAUACUCAUUAGUAAGUUUUCAAAUGGAAAAAAUUAUAACUUAAUUAAGAGGGCAAGUAAGCCAAUUAACUUUUAGUGAAUAUUUUGAUCACUCAACAUUGUCAUUCAUGCUUCUAUAAUAAUAUAAAUAGAUCAUUGUUCAAAAAUUUUGGUGAGUGUCUGCCGUCUUACCUUACAUGAGUUAGUAAUAGUUUCAAAAAAAAAUUAAAAAAAUAAAACACUAGCAUAUAUAAAUAACUAGUUUUAUAAAAUCCGGACUCAAACUCAAAUAAUUUAAUAUUUUAUACAGUAAUAUGAUUAAAUAUGUAAAAUAAUGACAACUUUCAAAGAUCAUAAAUUGAAAAGCGUUGAUACUUUUAUGAGAUUAUGAACAUACAUUCUAUAGCUAUAAAUAAAAAAUAUAUUUCUUAUAUUAAGUCAUAGUUUUAUUCAUAAUUUCACGUGACAAAAAUUUAAGUUAUUUAAUAUGAUAAUUUAUACUUAGUUUUACUUUAAAUUAAAAAAAAUUGAAUUCAUCAAAAAUAAACUUCGAAAAUCUAUCAGUUCUUAUAUUUAAUUUAUGCCUAAGAAUAUUAAUUCUCAAAUAAUCAAAAAAGAUAUUUUAAAAAUAAUUUGAUCUUAAUUGAUACUACUACCUUCAUUUUUAACUUUAUCAAUAAUUUUAACUUUCAAUAUUUGAAAGAUUUUAUGGAUAAUUUCAAAAGUAGGUCUAAAUUUUUUCGUAAAAAAAUUCUAUUCAAUUUGUAAAAAAAUAAUUAGGAAAUAUUGAGAAUCAUACUUAGCUCAUCAGAAAUAAAUAUAGUCUUACACAAUUAAUUAAAAGAUUUACCGAUUAGUUAAAUAAUUUUUUUUUAAAAUAAUUCAGUUAAUUGUCAGCCUAAACUCUCACCUUAUUGGCGAAGGUUUGAUUCUCCAUUUUAUUCCUCCCUAUUUCCUUAUUUUAAAAAAUAGUUAAGCAAUUAAAAAUUCAAGAAAAAACUCAAUAAUAAUUUCUCAUAUUAUAACAAACCACAUAUAAAGUCUCAUUUGACAAAUAAAGAAAUAAAGUAGUUUUAUCUUUAUCAAAUACAUGCCAUAAUUUUAGUGGAUUAAUAAAUUAAUUAAAAUUAUUAAAAUAACCUUUUGAGGACUACCAAAGUUUAUUAUUGUCUUUUAUAUAUAAUAGUAAAAAUUUAUUAUUCUCUCUUAUAUAUAAUAGUAAAGUAAUUUGCUUUGCUAUAAAAAAAAUAAAAUGCUAUCAUAAAUAUCAUAGUUAAUUUUUUCUUUUUACUUUUAGCAAAAGAAAAAUAAAAGAAAUCACAUCUAGGUAAUUUUUCUUGAAGGAAAAGGUUCUGAACUACUUUAAAUUAAGAACUCUUUCAUUACAACAAUAUAAUAUUCACAAUGUAAAAUUUAGUCGCAGAGAUAUUUUUAUAAUUAUUUUUUGAUGAGCUCUAAAGGUGCUAGCUCAAGGAGUACCAAAAAAAUGUGCUAAGAUCGCCGGGGGGACAGGGGGGACUCUUGGAGACUCCUGUAGGUAAUAAGAAACUUAUAAAACGAAAGUUAUUGCGUGUUAUUCUAAUAUCUCGAUAUCAUAUUGUUUUUUGUAAUUUUUAUUUUGCUAGUCAUAUUGUAGGUUAACAUUCGCUCUGACUUUGCGAUUUUUUUGUCUAAAGGUUAGGUUUAAUUAUAUCAUUCUAAUAUCUCAAUUAUUAUAGUUUCUUUUCAGUCACUAUCUGUUGUUUUUUCUGCUUAAUAUAGGUAGCGAUGAGUGUUGAUUUGGCUUUGAAAUUUUUUUUCUGUAAAUAUUAGAUUUAAUCAUAUUGUUUUGAUAUCUUGAUUAACAUAUUAUUUUGGUGUGAUUUACAGGUGGUUGAUGAAUGUUCGAUCGAAAUUUGAUGAACUUUAUGUAAAGUUUAGGUUGUCGAAUCUAUAUAUAAUAUAAAGGAAGGUCACAGAGAAAGUGACAUGACACCUAUUUAUGACCUUCAUUCCUAUUUUUCUAUUUUCUCCUUUUUUUUUCCUUUUUUAAUUUUUUAUCCUAUUUUUUAAUGCUGUAAUAAUAAAUGACUCUAUAAUUAAUAUUCCACAUACUAAUGAAAUACUUUAUUGUUCCAGCCACUUAGAUUCCUUAUUUAUGGAAGAAAAAGAAUUGAAAAAGUCUUUAGCAAUGAGAAGAAUAAAACCACAAGUAUUUAUACACCAAAAUAUUAGUCCAAUUUCGACAAUUCAGUCACACCCGUUACAUAUCUUAAACCCAUUUACCAACUACAAUUAAACCUAUUUAAUUUACAUUAGUCAUUCACUCAUAUUCUCAGUAAACCAAUAUCAAAGAAAUCCUUNNNNNNNNNNNNNNNNNNNNNNNNNNNNNNNNNNNNNNNNNNNNNNNNNNNNNNNNNNNNNNNNNNNNNNNNNNNNNNNNNNNCAAUUAUCAAGAAAUGAAUUUAUCUUUUUUCUUUUUUUUUUUGGGGGGAGUCUUUUUCCUUUUUAAGUGAUAAAAAAAUGAGUACUAUCCAUUUAAAAAAUAAUCAAACGUCGCUAUUAAAAAAAAACUGUCGACAUAAAUACACUUAAUUAGGGAUUGAGUUUAAUUUGCAGCAUCGUUUUCUUCUUCUUUUCCACUUCCUCCCAAGAGUCUUUUUCAGUUCCACUUCUUCUUGCCGUCGCCACAGUAAUUUCUUACUACUGUCUUUUCAUUUUAUCCCGAUCUUUUGGUCCACUUAAAUUUCUUCAAUGUGAUUUUGUUAUUGGCUUUAUUUCUCUCAUGUUUGAGAAACGUUUCAUGACAGCAAAAAAUUGACAACAAACAUUGACUUGUGUGCGCGAAUAGAAGCAGAAAACUAAAAAAAUUCUUUUAUGAAGUUUUGCUGAUUAAGAUUAUAUUGCAUGCAUAGGAAGCCAGCUUUACUCCAACAAGAGAGAAGACCAUGAGUAUGCUAAGUUUUUCUUUUUCUUAUAAGUGUAGACUAAAAUUCAUAAGACACCAUAUAAUCAAUAAAGACUGAGAGUGAAACGAGUGAGAAAACAUAGGAGUUUUAGUACUUUCUUGGACUUCCUUUCUAAUCUUUUUGUUAUUUUAUUGUACUUUUUGAAAUUGAUUAAAUAUUAUUUCUAUUUCUUUUAAAAAAAUUAUUCUACUUUUUGGAAUUGCUACAAUAUUAUUUCAAUUUUUUUUUUUUUUAAAUUUCAUAAGCAGUGUUUAGAGCAACUUUUUUAACUUGACAAUCAUAUAAUAAUAUUUAUUUAUAAAAUAGGAGCAAAAACUUAGUUGUAUUAUUAUUAGGAAUCAACUUAUGUGAUUUGGUAAACUCUUUACGAAGGAAUAGUCUGACCGAUUAUACCAAAGAUGAGAUGGAGCGAAGGGGAUGUUUGGGUUAGCUUCUUUGAAGUGAUUUAUAAGCUAAGAGUUGAAAGUUGUCUUUUUUUACUAUGUAAGAGGGUGUUUGGAUUGAUUUAUUUUAAGGGAUUUUGACUUUUAAACACUUUAUUUUAGGUUUAAGAAGUAUCCAAAAAUGCCAAAAAUCAAUGUUUUGUCUCCUUUCGGAUUUUAUUUUAAAGAAAAUGAUUUUGAUCCUUUUUAAACUAUUUCGAAAGAUUCAAGAGAGUUUCGAAAUAAUUUUUGACAAAAUUUAUAGAUUCGUCACUUGAUUUUUUAUCGAAAAUAUCAAGAAAAACUCUAAAGGGAUUUCAAAGAUUUAAAAAUAGUAAUAAAUUUUCGAAAUCAGAGAAACUGAGUUAAUGCCCUAAGAAAAUUUUUACGGCACUUAUAAGCGACCGUUUUAAAACAGUUCACCAAAAGAUUUAUUUUUGACUAAUUUAAAAGGGUAACUAACAUUACAAAAAGGAACAAAAAAAUUACUUGUAUAAAAUUAUUUAUUUACAUGUUCAAAAUUUGACUUCUUGUUUGUUUCAACGAAAAAUAGUCUACUUGAAUUAGAAAGAAGUUGCAACAUGUUUCGCUUGAUUUACUUAAUUCAUGAUUAUUUCUAAGAAAGGAUAUGAAAUAUCUUACUUGAAUUAAAAGAAGCCUAUCUAGACUAGGUGACACAUUUGAAUUUAAAAAGAAAAUAUGUUGAUUUUUAUGGGGAAAGAGGAUCAUAUAAUUAUUUAUUGUCAUAAGAAUGGUCAUUUUGUCAUGGCUAACACCUUUGAAAAAACAUUAAGAAAGUAUCAUAUUAAAACAUUUUAUCGAUGGUAGAAAGUUGAAAUUUACGAGAAAAUAACUUUUCGAGUUCGAAGAGAAUUAUAUGUUUUUUUUUAUCUAAAUAGACUAUUUAGUCGUGUGAACAAAACAAAUAUCAUUUGGACUAAGUAUUCAUUUUUUUUAUUUCUUUUUAUGAAUUAAGUGGGAAAAUUAUACGAUAAAUGAGAGAUUCGAGAUAAAUGAAAAGGCAAAAACGUGGGAAAUCACUAGGUUAAUUAAGUAGAAUCGUCAUAAUUUUAAUAUUUUUUUUAGGUACAAGCUAUAUCAUUUAAAUAAAUAUAAAAUUUGGAGGCAAAAAUCUACAAUAAUUGUUGUGAUAUAUUUUCUAAUAUAGUAUCAAAAUGAUUUUAUAAAAAUGAAUUCAUUGAAGCGAGGUACACGCACGGAUUGCGAAACCUAAACUAGUAUAUAUAUAUAUGUGUGUUAGCUAUAUGUUAGCACAUUUAAUUAAUAAAUUGGGUAAAGAUGUCUCAUAAUUAGGUGAUAAAAGAGUAAGACAAGAUAUAUGUUGGUAGGUAUGAAUUUGGUACACUGGUAAGCUUUUAUAGACGAGUCAACACACACAAUUUGCCAUUUUAAGGAAUAGAUACCCAACAAAACUGAUUGUUCCUGUAUAUGCCAAAGACACAAACUUUCUGAACCAAGUAAACAAAAGGCAUUACCAUUAAAAUGCAUGAAUCAACGAAUAAGCACACGAUACAAAUUCUACCCAACCAAAAAUAGGACUCCAACACCUUUCUAGCAUGCAUAUAUUGUACACAAGACCACAUUCCUAAAAAACAGAUACGAACAAAACUAGCAUUUCGUCAAAACGCAUAAAUCGAGAAAACUAAAUGCAAUUUCAACAUAAUAAUCUAAUUAAAAAAAAACAAUGCAAGACAUGUAUUUUCCUGCAAGUGAAGUAUUCAAGAUUUAGAGCAUAUAACAGGACACCACAUAACCACUGUUCUACCAUGAAUAUACUUUAACACAAAACCCGGAAAAGAUAAAACACACAAGAGAGAAAAUGACAUUCUUAGCUUUUGUGAGCAUGACAUAAUGGUGAACCAUACUUUCUUCAUAUAAUUCAAAACAACCCACAUACCAACAACGCACUGUCGAAAGUUUGAAAUUUCCAACAAUUCACACAUAAUCGAGAAAACUCUUAAUUCCGAUCGAUUCUACUAUCAUUACCACAGUCCAUAUCCACAAUCAUUGCAGCAUUUUCAUAUUUACGACAUCCAAACGUGAAGAAAAAGAAUGUAGCAAAGACGACUGUUCACCUGUUUUCGAGCAGCAACACCGGGACGAAGAGCUUUCAAUCGAAUGAGAUUCCACCACCUCGAGUUGAUUCUAACCAACAGAAUUUGAACGAGAACAUCGAAUUCCGAUAUUCCGACGGUCUUCGAGAAUUUUGGUUUCGUGAGGUUAAACGCAAGCACCUUCAGAACCCCUAAUUUUCCCCCAAAAUCCUCCUCCUUACCCCUUCUCCUUAGCAUCUAUUUAUAGGUAAUUUCGUAUUUUUUUUUAUUUUUUUUUUUUUGGGGGGGGGGGGGGGGUUGUGAUUAGGGCUUUGAAUUUGAACUUUUUUGGAAAAGUCAAGGGAUUUUGAAAUCCACAAUGACAGAAAUGCAGAGUGAAAUUUGCACCAAAUUGGUACAAAAUUCAGAACGGAAAAGUUAGAAGGCAAGAAAAGAGACCGGAUUUGGACAUUUAAGAAGGUGAAAUUCAAGCCAAAAAGAGGUUGCACACGGGGGUAAAUCAGUAAUAAAGGAAAGGGGGAACAACUGGGUUUUUUCUCGUUGAAGGCUAUUGCUGUUACUGCGUUGGAACUGUUGUUUGCGUUACAGCGUACAACGCUGUUUGUUGCUGGUGUACGCGUUGUUGAACGCCGUUGAUGUUGUCGGCUAUUAUGGUCGUUGUUGGUUAUUGUUUUGGCUGAGGCUGAUAACGUUUUGUACAGUGGUUGUUGUACGCUGUAUAAGGGAAAUUAAUGAAAAGGGGAAAUAAGGGUUUCGGCCAGGUCGGUUUGGUGGAUUGGGCUGGUGAGGGUAAGCUGCUGUUGUUAUUUUUGAUGGGAAUUGGGCUGUUAGCCAAAUUUCAAAGAGGAUUGGGUCGGGUUUAUAAUGGAGUGGGCUGGGGUUAUGGGCUGAUUAUGGAUAAUUAUAAUUUAGUCAAUUUAAUUUGAAAUCUAGCCAGAUUAAAAAUUAAUCUGUCAGUUGUAUUUAAUAUGGCCAAAUUCAAUUAAUCGAUUAAAUUAAAUCAAAAUUUGAAAUAAAUUAACAAUCAAUUUAAUCUCGAGUUUCUUCAUUUAAUAAGAUCAAAUAAAUAUUUUUAUUUUAUUUUUCAACAUAAAUUAUUUUGAGGCUAAAUUAAAAUUAAAAUUUUAACCAUUUGAAUCAAUUUUCAAGAUAACCCUUGAUUAAAAUUUAAUUUUAAACAAAUAGUUAUUUAAAUAACAAAAUUAUAUAAUUUUCUAUAAGCAAAUAAGAAAUAUAUAAUAGUUACUAAAAAUGACAAAAUCACACAGAUAAAUACUUUGAAAAAAACUAUUAUUUAAAUAAAAUAAAUAAUGUAAUUUUAUUUAAAAUUAAAGAAACUCGAAUUCAAACUUAGUCGUGGAGGACAAAACUUAGGUGUCAACAACUACCCCCUCCCUUUGGGUAGGGUAGUUGUAAGUAACCCUGGGCAAAGGGAGUUUGACGUUCUUAAUUUUUUCCGACCACAAAUUUAUUUCUGAAAGAGGUUGGUUUUCGCAUGAGUUUUUAUAGAGUUAUAGCCGGACCCCGAUAUUGGGUUUCCUACAUAUCUCAGGUUACAUGAGAAUUCAGGCCACUUGUAGUUCAUAAGCUUAAUUUUAAGCACGAUUUUCAAAAACUUCACAAGCUAUCCCGAUUUUGAAUUUUAGUAAAACCAAAAAACUGAGGAAUAAGCAGAUAGGGGGGUGAGGGGUGGGGGGUUGGACUGCAGUCAACUUUUCAACACGGAGCUCAUCCUAUAUAUCCCUGAGACUCAGGGAAUCAGAUUUCAUAUAUUUUGAUUCGAUUGGUGGAAAAUAUGGUCAUUUAUGAUAGGAUGACCUUUGGCUCGGGAUGAGAGACAAACUGAUUGAGUUGCAGAAAAGGGGCUUGUAACCUCUUAUCCAUGACUCUGGAGCUCCUAACAUCAAUAGGUAAGAUUUUUACUCUGGCAUAAUUUUCAAAACUCUGAGUGUGUUAUCACUAGAAUUUGAAGCGAAGAGAAGAUUACCCUUGGUAUGGGUUUAAAAAUAUCUCGAGAGUGAAACUGAAACAAAAUUCCAAAAUACCCACAUGCCUUCUGAUAGGGAUGUGGUUUUAUGGUGGUGGAAUUCGUCUUUAGCUUGCGUCCAAAGAGUUUGAUAUUCCUCUUCGUACUAUGUCCUAGUUCGCCGCUCAAAAAAGUUUUGCGUUAUGCUGCAUUCUUUUUAGAGUCAUCCGCACCUGUGAUUUUGGUUUGAGAUUUUUAUCCUUUUCAAAUGCUCUCAAUAACAUUUCAAAUAAUAUUGCUAGUAAUAAACAUAGCUCAUUAAGGGGUUUAUAGUCUUUUACCAUAUAACCAUGUGAGAGCGAUAAUUCUCGCAAUACUCGACAUAACAACUUUUUUGUUGUUGAAUAAAAUGGUCUUCUUGAUGGUUGGAAGUGCUCUUCAAAGUGGGGUGGCCCUCUUGGGCACUGACGACACGUAUAGAGCGAUCCCUGCAGACGCAUAGCUAUAUGCUAAUGUGGCAACCCUUUUGGUCACCUAUAACGCCUGUCGUAUUUGACCUCGGGGAGUCUUGCGCAUCUCUCAUAUCGGUACGACUUAUAGAUUUUCUUUGAAUUAUCAAUCUUCAAAUAAUCUUGCGCAUUAUUUGAUGUUGGAUAUGAGGUGACUUACAGAUAGCCUUUAAGUUGCUAGCUUUUUAGUAAUCCUGUACAUUAUCCGACCUUGGAUAAAAGAUGACUUACAGAUAUCUCUCCAAUCGCUAACUCUCAGGCAUCCUACACAUUAUCCAACCUUGGAUACAAUAUGACUUAUAGAUAUUUGUUAUAUCGGUAGUCUUUGGCUAAUCCUGUGCGUAAUUGAUUUUGGAUAUGACACGGCUUAUAGAGAACUCUUGGACUUAUAAAUUUCAAUAAUCUUGUAUAUUUUCCGAUAAGGAUUUAGUUAUGACUUAUAGAUGACCUCCAAACUGUCGAUCUUUGGGUAACCUUGCACAUUAUCUGUUUAGGAUGUUGUUGCGGCUUACGGAUGACCCAUAUUCUAUUAACCUAUGGGUAAUCUCGCACACUAUCCUAUUUCAAAUAAUGUGAUUUAUAGAUCAACCUUCGAUUGUCAAUUCUCAAAAAAUCUAGUACAUCGUACAUUUGGAUAGCAACUUAUACACAUUCUUUGGACCAUAUAUUUCUUGAGAUCCAAUAGCGAAUGCCAUUGAAUAUUUUGUGAUUGAUGCAUUUGAAGCUGAUGAAUAUCCCUCAACGCCAGAUUACUUUCCCUUUGCGUGAUUUGAUAAGAUAUGAAUGCUUCAGAAUAUUCUUCAAUGCCAAACUCUUUUGUCUUCGCAUGAUUAUCAGAUAUAUAUAUAUGAAAAUGCUUUAGAACAUCCUUCAAUAAUAUACUCUUUCUCCUUUAUUUGAUUAACGGAUAUAGAAGACUUGGAAUCAAUCAUGGGCAUCAUAUGCAAUAUGGAGAUACCCUUGGAUUGUCAUAUCUUCAAAACUAGUUGAAAAAGGCGAUAUGGCUUUCAGGAUGCGACUCUUACAUCAUGGUCUUCUUGGAAUGGCCUUCUCGAUAUGACGGCAUGGCCCUUUUGGCAUGGCCCUUUUGGCAUGACCCUCUCGUUAUGGCCCUCUCGACAUGACUCUUUCGGCAUGGCCCUCUCGGCGUGAUAUGAUGCAGUAGAACGAUAAAGAGGAAUACAAAUAAUCGUGCAGGGAUUGUAGAGAACGUCACCUUAACCAUCCUACUAGAAUGUUGGACCUUUUUCAUAUACUAUUUCAAACAUCCAUCCUUGAUUUGCUUGGGAUGUGAGUAAGUCAUCAUUUUGCUUUCCACAUUUGAUGAUACCUGCAACCAACAAAAAAACCUGUUAGUUUGGAAAACUUAGUUUUUUUCAACUCCUGACAAUCCUGGCUAUUUCUUAUCGACCUUGAGAUGUUUGGCUUUCUUAUAUUCCUUUAAAUCAAAGGAAUACGGUGAACGAUCGAUGCUUUCAUUAAUUUUUGUUGGCUUCAGGAUAACCUGCAACCACAGAAAAAUUAUUAGUUUUGGUAUAUUGAUCUGUGUUGCCUUUUCGGUCUUCAGCUUAUGUCAUCGCCAUCAUCAGGUUCUCAUCUUCUUCACGUGUUUGUCAUUUUUGACUCCUACUUCGACUCCCUAAGUUUGCGGGUGUAAGGCAAAAUCAUAGCAUAAAAAAAUUAAAGUAAAUACUUUUGCAAAUAAUUGAAUUUUCAAAAGUCCUUUUAUAAGAUUGGGAGGAGUCUCUGUCAAUUAAGCCAUAUCAUAUACGAGCUUUAAUGAACAUUCUUAGCUCGAGGGGUUGAGGCUUUGUAGCUGAAGGUCUAUGAAGUUGACUCUGCUAUUUCGACACCUAAAACUUUGUUGUCAUCUUUGAACUCUUUAGUACAGUAUGGUGGAAAUUUUGAGGUCUACCUUAAAAUUUCUGCCCCAGUUACUGAUAUUUAUCUCUGAGUUACAAGAGGAUGAUCUUCUUCUUUUGAAUUUUAAGGUUCCUUCCCAAAAAUUCUGCCCCACUUUUCAUUUCCUGGGGUGAUAUGACCAAUCCGUUGUGGUGCAUACGUAUACAGUUGAAUAGGAAUCAAGUCAAACGUAGUUCCCAUAAUGCAAAAAGAGAAUAAAAAUAGUUAAAGGGGUGACUGAAGCCGACGAGGCUGUCUACGUAUCCCAUCCUCGGGAAUUUAGUUCAUCACGUAGUUCAGGAGAAAAUAAAAUUUUUCUAAGGGGUUGAUCAAAACCGACAUAGGCCUCCUACAUAUCCUUUUCUUGGGAAUUCAGGUCAAAUGUAGUUCGUACAUAAGAGGAGGGAAAAUUUUAAAUCUACUACAAAGCAGAAGAACAAUUACAAAUAAGAGAGCAAUUACAAGGAAAUAAGCACAAAAAAACCCCACACCAGACAUAGUAUUUAUUCACUACAUCAAAAUUAAUUGGCUUGGUCCACCUUUGGCCAUUCAUUUCAGACAAAAUCAAGGCUCCUCCUGAUAACACUUUGCAAACUACAUACGGCCCGUGCCAAUUUGAAGCGAACUUUCCCUUAUACUCCUCUUGGUGAGGGAAUAUGCGUCUGAGCACCAACUGUCCAACUUCAAACGUGCGAGCUCUUACUCUUUUAUGAAAAGCACGAAUAAUUCAUUGUUGAUAUAGUUGUCCAAGGCAUACUACGCUCAUACUAUUUUCAUCAAUCAACAUAAGUUGUUCAUGAUGGGCGCGGACCCAUUAUUCAUUACUCAGACCCACUUCUUGGAUGAUCCUUAAAUAUGGUAUUUCAACUUCAGUGGGUAUUACCGCUUCUGUCCCAUAGAUUAAUGCAUAAGGAGUUACCCCAGUCGAGGUUUUAACUGUUGUGCGAUAUCCCAGCAAGGCAUAAGGCGGCAUGUCGUGCCACGAUCGGUGGCUAUCAACCAUCUUUCUUAAGAUCUUCUUGAUGUUCUUAUUGGCAGCUUCUACCGCUCCAUUCAUUUGAGGGAGAUAUGCGGUUGAAUCUAGAUGAGUGAUCUUGAACUAUUCACAUAUCUCUUUCAUCAGAUGACUAUUCAAAUUUUCUCCAUUGUCCUUGAUGAUUAACUCGGGUAUCCCCAAUCGGCAAAUCAAAUUAUUCUUGACAAAAUCUGCUACCACCUUCUACCCACUUGGUAAAGUUAUCGAUAGCAACUAAAAUAAAUUUGUGUCCAUUAAAAGCUAGUGGUUCAAUCGGGCCGAUGAUGUCCAUGCCCCUAGCUACAAACGGCCAGGGCAAGCUCAUAACAUUAAGUUCGUGUGGGGGUACUCGGAUCAGAUCUCCAUGUAUCUGGCACUUAUGACAUUUUUACACUAACUUGCUAUAGUCAAUUUCCAUAGUCAUCCAGAAAUAGCCGGCUCUUAGAAUAUUCUUGGCUAGAGUAAAUCCAUUCAUAUGAGGUCCGCACGUUCCGACGUGAACUUCUUCAAGUAAUUUUAUAGCUUCGAUGAAAUUGACACAUCAUAAAAAUCCUGAGUCCGGGUCCUCCUAUAAAGGACUUCCCCAUUCAAAAAUAAAUUAUUGGCCAUCCGACGGAUCGUUUUCUUCUGAUUGAUGGUUAAAUCUUUCGGGUAUGCUCUAGUCUCCAAAUACCUCUUGAUAUCAAAGUACCAUGACUUUCCAUCUGGUUCUGCCUCAACUUGUGUGCAAUGUACAGGUUGUUUUUUCACACUUAUCUCCAACGAAUCAAUGUAACUUUGAUCCGGAUAUUGAAUCAUGGAGGAUAUAGUGGCCAAAGCACCGACGAACUUAUUUUGUAUUCUUGGAACAUGCUUGAAUUCCACCUCCUUGAAUCUUCUGCAUAACUCAUGUACCAAUUCCACAUAUGACGUAAUUUUAGGUUUCUUUAUGGCCUAUUCACCUCGAACCUAGUGAACUAAUAGAUCAGAAUCUCUAAUGACUAGUAGCUCUCAAAUAUUCAUAUCAAUAGCCAGUCUGAGAUCGAGAAUACAAGCCUCGUAUUCAGCUAUAUUAUUGGUGCAUGGAAAGCGUAGUUUGGCGUAAACUUAGUAGUUUUGACCAAUUUAUGAUAUUAAGACUGCCCCAAUUCUUGAACCAUUGAAGUUAACCUCCCCAUUAAAGAACAAUCUCCAACUUGGGUACAUUUCGGCAAUGUUUUCCCCUAUAAAAAAUACCUCUUCAUCUGGGAAAUAAGUUCGGAGUGGCUCAUACUCUUCAUUAGAUGGGUUCUCCACUGGGGCCUGCCUUUUGAUCGCCUUUUGAGUCACGUAUACAAUGUCGAACUCACUUAAUAGCAUUUGCCAUUUGGACAAUUUCCCCUUGGGAAUGACCUUUGGGAAUAUGUACUUCAGAGGAUCCAUUCUGGAGAUGAGAUACGUUGUAUAGGAUGUCAAGUAAUGUCUCAGCUUCUAGGACACCCAGGUCAAUGCAUAACACGCUCAUUCUAAUAGUGUGUAACGAGCCUCAUAUGGAGUGAACUUUUUACUUAAGUAAUAAAUUGCUCUUUCCUUCUUUCCAGUUUAAUCUAUUGCCCUAAGACACAUCCAAAUGCAUUGUCAGGGAACGAUAGAUACAACAAUAAAGAGAUUCCUUCUCUUGGAGGAAAUAGUACUGGUGGACUAGACAAAUAAUCCUUGAUCUUGUCAAAAGCUCGCUGGUAUUCCUCAGUCCAUUUACUUGCUGCAUCUUUCUUUAACAUCUUGAGGAUUGGCUCACAAAUACCUGUUGACUGGGCUAUGAACCUGCUAAUGUAAUUCAAUAUCCCUAAGAAACUCAUGACUUCCUUCUUCAUCUUCAGAUGAGGCAGCUUUCCUGCGGGCACCCUAAAAGUAUAUUUAGCUGGGUUCAACUUCAAAUUGUACUUCCUCAACCGAUCAAAGAAUUUUCUCAAAUGAGCAUAGUUGUCCGAAAUCUUGCGAGAUUUGAUGAUUACAUCGUCUACAUGCACUUCAAUCUUUUAUUGAUUAUAUCAUGAAAUAUGAUUGUCAUGGCUCUUAUAUACGUAGCACCAGUAUUCUUGAUACUGAAGGACAUCACUCUAUAGUGAUAAACAACCCAAGGCGUGAUGAAAUCCAUUUUUUCUCCAUUAUUUUUAUCCAUCAGUAUUUGAUGAUACCCGAUAAAGUAAUCUACGAAGGACUGUAUUUCAUGCCUCGCACAAUUAUUAAUGAGAAUAUGGAUGCUGGGUAAUGGAAAGGUAUCUUUAGGACUGGCUUUGUUCAAGUCCCUAUAAUCGACACAAAUUCUGACUUUUCCAUCCUUCUUCGGUACUAGAACAAUAUUGGCAAGCCGUGUUGGAUAUUUGUGACUUCAACCACAUUGGCUUGGAUCUUCUUAGUAACUUUUUCCUUGAUUUUCAGACUCAAAUUUGGGUUAAAUUUUUGCAACUUCUACUUCACAGGAUUAAACCCCGGAUCAAUUGGCAACUUGUGUGAUACAAUAUCUGUACUCAAUCCUGGCAUGUCAUCAUAAGACUAAACAAAUAUGUCAAUAUAUUCUUUAAGCAACCCAACGAGUUCUCUUUUCUGUGCUUCUGCAAGAUGAAGACUGAUCUUGGUUUCUUUGACUUCUCCAUCAUCACCUAGAUUAACUAUCUCAAUUUUUUUCUAGGUUGGGCUUUCCCAAUCCUCAAAAUCUUUUAGUUCCUCUGUUAAUCACUUUGGGGCCAUUGUUUUUUCAUUAAAGUUCUCUUAUUCAUCAUCAUUUGCUUCGAUUUAUUCAUUUAGCUCUUGACAUGACAUGACAUUGGAAGAUUUUAAAUUAUAAUUACUAAAAUAAUAAACAACAUUAGUUAGAUUAUAGCGAUCGAAUAAUGUAGUUAAAUCGGUAAAAAUGUCUUUGUAAUAAGGAAGGCUUUCAUUAAAAUUUAAAACAUUACAGACAUUGGCUAUGAUCCUCACUAGGGCUGGUCUGAGCCUUUUGGGAAACAUAAAAAACGAAAAUGAGGUAAAUAAAACUUAAAAGAUGGGUCCCUUUUUGCAAAAAUUGAAUUGCAUCCUUUCAUCUACCACUUCAAUCGGGGAGUCAUGAUUGAAGUGAAAGUCCAGUUCGACAGUUUCUCCCCUGACUCAUCUUUAUUGAUCUCGAUCUUCUUAGGGAAAUCCUGUAUAAUGGCAUCACACUCUUUGAACAAGUUACCUAUUCCAUCCUCAGGACCAUCACUUGUAGGCUUCACAGAUACAGGAAUGACUGAUAGAGCGGAGGUAAUCUCUUCACCAUUUAUGGGCCUACUCUCUUCUCCUCUCUUUCACCUUCUUUACUUGUCACAUAUCCUAUCCCAUACUUGAACAACUUCUCUAGGAUCACGACAGGCUUAACGAUCCUAUGCAAAUUCUUUCCUAAGCUGCGCCCGGGCUCAAAACCGCUUCUCAGCAUAACAGUGGUCAACAUCUUGUAAAUUGGAAGCAUUGGCUCGUAAGGAGUUGGGUCUUUCUCAACUACAUUUAUGAUCUCUACUGUAUAAAAUUUACUCUCUUUCGGGACUUCAAUCACAAGAACACAACUGUUAGGGUGACUCAUACGACUUCCUUCACCAUAGAUGAAUACUUCAUCAUUUUCCCAUAUAAAUUUCACUGGUUGGUGUAAUAUUGAAGAAACGACCCCACCGUAUGAAUCCAAGGCCUUCCUAAGAGCAGAUUAUAACUUACAGAAAUGUAUAUCACUUGAAACUUAACUAAGAAUUCUGCAGGCCUCAUCUGAUGGUGCAACUUGAAUUCCCUAAUGGUGUUUCCCUGACCCCCGUCAAAAGCUCUUACAUUUACCGUAUUUUGAUGCAUUUUCUCUAUAUUAUAGUUCAGCUGAGUCAAAAUGGAUAAUGGACAAAUAUCCAGACAUGAUCCAUCAUCAAUUAAUACCCUGUUAACAAUCUUAUGUUGGCAUUUGACAGUAAUAUACAAUGCCUUGUUAUGCAUCACUCUUUCAAAGUGUAACUCAUCUCUACCAAAGCUAAUGCGAUGAGCUCCCACCACUCUACUGAUCAUGGCCACAAAAUUGUUAGUACUUGUGCCUACGGGCACGUAUGCUUCUUCAAGGAACUUCACUAGAGCUUGUCUAUGAUAUUGAGAACUCAUAACCAAUGACCAAAUAGAAAUCUGAGCGGGCUUCUUCUCUAAAUGUUUCACAAUAAAGUACUUUUUUGGCUGCAUUCUUCUCCAAAAUUCUUUGGCCUCCCCUUCAGUGAUUGGCCUUUUUUGAGCAUUCUUCUUGUAUACAUCAUUAGCAAGCUCCUCUGUAGUGUAGCAUCUCCCUGAUCUAAUCAUUCCUUACGGGCGGCGGCUUCCACCAUAAAUUCUUCUCUUACGGGAACAAACGCAAAGACUUGAUGAGGUACGACGAAUGCAACAUACUUGGGCUUCUCGAUAACACUUAAGGCGACCACUGCCUUUUCUAUAUCUUUAACCUUAUCCAUCGCAUCCAGGCUAGCCUGUGUUAUAGAAUUUCUCACCACCCAUUCACUAUCUAUUUCUAUCAUAUUGAUAGUUGUCUCUUUAUGGUUUGGGAGUAGGUUGGUGGCAAUAUUUGGUGGCACCGUCUGAAGCAAAAUCACCUUCUGAUCAAUCAAAUCUUGAAUCUUGUGCUUUAAAUUAAUAUAGUCCUCGAUUGUAUGUUCGACACCUCCUGAAUGAUAUGCGUAAUGCUGGUCAGCAUAGAAGAAUCAAGAAUUGGUAUUAGUGGGUUUCGGCGGGAUAGGUUAGAUGAGAUCUGCUUUCUUUAGCCUUUCAAACAGUUGAGAACAGUUGAGUUCUGGUUUCAGCCAAAGCAGUGAAGCUUCUGGUGACUUUUUUUUCAUUUUGGAUGAGGAAGAUAUUGGUAAGUAGGGGGAGGGACUUGAUGGUAAUUUUGGUUAACUGGAGCUUUUUGGUAGGCUUGGAAAUUUGAAAGAGGAGCUUGAUAAGUGGGCUGAUAAUUUGGCAAUGGAGCUAGGUAAUUUGGUUGAUUGGUAGAGAAAUUUGGCUAUGGAACUUGGGGGAUAGGUUGGGUAUAGCACACAGGUUGGAGAUUUCGUGGAGUUGAUGGGUAUACAAACGGUGAUUGUAUUCUCCCAGAAUUAGGCUUGGAGGAUUUCUUUGAUUUCAGGUUUGGACUUUAGGACACGAAAGACAUAUCUUUUUUUUUCUUUGGGAAUACUGAAGAUCCAGGUUGUGCAGAGGUCUUGUUGAUUUUCCCCAUCCUGAGUCAUUUUUCAACUGUUUCACUAUUCUUAACCAAAUCAGCGAAGGUAGCACGAACUGUCGAUAUCAUCUUGUCAUAAAACUCUCCCUCCUAAGCUCGGGUAAACACAACAAUUAUUUUUUCUUCUAUCAUAUGAGAUCGUACCUUUGCUGCCUCUUUGCGCCAAUGAUAGGCAUAUUCAUAAAAGAAUUCAUUAGACUUUUGCUUGAUGCGGUUCAAAGAAUAUUGAUCAGAAACCAUCUCUACAUUGUAGGCAAAUCUAUCAAUAAAGUCUCUAGCUAAAGUGCUCCGUUCAGGUAAUUUCUUUAGUUCCUGUGAAGCAAACCAUUCUAACGCUUCUCCACUCAGGCUUCGACUGAAGAUCCUUAUUAUUAAUGUCUUAUUUCUGCCAGCGCCAACCAUUUAGUUGCAAUAUCCUCUCAAGUAAGCCAUAGGGUUUUUAGUACCUUUGAAUGUCUCGAACUUAGGGACUUCAAAUACUUCUGGCAGGUUCAAGUCAGGGUGAAUGCAAAGGUCAUCAUAACUGAACCUCACUGCAUUGGGUGAACCAUGGGUUUUCUUCAUCCUUGAGAUCUCUUUCUUUAUCAAUAGUAAUUCCUUGGUAUGUUUGUGUUCAGGCACCUUACACUCCUUCUUUAUCUCCUCAUAGUGGUCAAUUUAUGGAUUUUGGGGGAAUGUAUGGUAAGAGGUAGGCAUUACAGUAGCAUGGAUGGUGACGGGAGAUAUAUUUUGGGUCAUCAGAGGACUUUGAGUGGUAUGAGUAAAGUUUUGGUUUAUGGGAACUGGAUUUUGGGGAACAUUGGCAUUGAGACUGAAAGUUGGGUGGAUAUUUUGGGAAGUAAAGGCAUUUGUGGAGGUAUUUUGGUAAUUUGGAGUGAAGCUUUGAGGGUGGUAAUCAUUUGGAUUUACUCCAUUGAUGUUAUAAGCAUGAGGGGUAUGGGUUUGGCAUAACAGACUGAUGGGAUUAGCGGAAGGUGUAAGCAUGGAAGUGAAGGGUAUGUCAUUUGGUUAGUUUCCAUUGUGAAGAGAGAUAAAAGGAGGGGAUCAGAGCGGAGGGUAUGUCAUUUGGUUGGUUUCCAUUGUGAGGAGAGAUAAAAGGAGGGAAUUAGAGUGAAAGUACAUGGGUAUCCAAGACUGGCGUAUUAGUGGCCAUGGACAGAUUAGCCAUAUCUUUUGCUCGUUGUACUUCUUCUUGAAGCUCCUCCAUUCUCCUAGUUAGUUCAGCGAUUAUCUCACCUUGUGCCAUUAUCACACCGUCCCUAACAGUAAUUUCGAUGAUAGCAUUAUCCUCACUACUACCAGUCAUUCUUUCCUCUUCAGCUAAGUGAUAAUUGCGGGAAAAUUUUUUAUUUGCCUUAGAUCUAGUUAAGUAUUGAUGUUCAGCCAGUUUUGUCAACACAGAUCAAUUUCUACUUACUUGAUUACCUGAUAAAACAACUCCAAAGGCAACUAUGUUAGAUUUGGUUAGUGAUACAUAAUGAAGAUGUCCGACAUAAUGUAAACAUAUAAAGUGCUUUCAUCAUAUGUAAAUUGAUCCACGGGUGGGUAUUGACUCAAAAAACAUUAACGGGCAGGACUCUGUCCGUUGAAUUUUUGAUAAAUAAGUCUUGACAAAAAAUUUUCCAAGUCUUCUAAUUUUGGACCCAUAUGAUGUUUUUUGACAAAACGAUACAUAACGAUUUUAAAGGAUAGAGGCCGGGACAAAAGGCUACCUACGUAUAUCCCAAAGGAAAAAUUAGGCCGUACGUAAUUCAAAUAUCUUGGGAUAAAACUUUAUUUCAUUGAAAUUUCAUUAGAGUUCAUUACAUUAGGAAAACAUGAAAGGAAAACAAUGGCAGAAAAGACAAGACUAAUGACUAAGUCCUAGAUAGAUGCGAGCAUUCCUACUUUAUUCUGCUCCCUCCACAUCUUGAUCUUCUAUGGGUGGUAUGGCGGGAAUUCCAUCUCGACCCCUCUUGUAUCCACCAGGCUCUCUAAAUCCAUCUUAAAAUUGUGGCAAGUCCCCAAGUCGUGUCCUCCGAUCCCUCCAUAAUAACGGCAAACCUCUCUGAGUUUUUUUCAAGCCUUAGACAUCAUAUUAGGCUUCCUCUCCACUGGUUCUAAAAUUUUGGCAUGGAUGAGCUUUGAGUAAAUUUCAUGGUAGGUAUCUCCAUACUUUGUGAAGUCAUAUCUGUAAAUCUGUACAUUAUUGAUGGGCAUGCCUGGAUCAACUCGAUCGCAACAAAAAAUAGUUUGUGAUCCCCAUAAAUUGUUCAUCUAACCAUUGCGGAUCAUGUUAUAAAUUCUGGCCUUCAGAACAAGAACUCAUAAGUGGUAUGACUACAUUGGUUUGGAUGAUAAUGACAUCUCUUAUGAACAUAUUCGGGAAGACAACCAAAUCCUUCUGUUUGAUUAGGGUGGAGGAACCUCAUAUCUCUUAGUUACUGAUAGACUCUCGAGCAUGUCAUGAUCUAGGGGUACUGAGAGUACCCUUUUGAGUAAGCUUUGAGGGUGAUCUUUUCACUUUUUUCCCUGAUCCUAGUUGGCCAGACGACAUCCCCUUUAAUCUAGGUCCAUCGUCCUCUCUUAAGUUUGAAGGCGAAGCUUGCUCAAACUUCUUCUUUUCCUGUGCGAUCAACUUCUUGACUUUAGCAAUUUCUUCAUCAUCCUGAUCGGCCCUCCUAAUCAAUCUCUUAACCUCUUUUUUUGCAUUUCUUCUAUCUGGUCUAACUCCACCACACAUCUUUUCAGUUGUGUGAUCCUUGAAUCCAGGAUAAAUUUUCCUGAAAGAAUAAAAAUACGAAAUGGUUGAGGACUUUCUGAGAAACUUAGGGACUUGAAAUGUUUUGGACGGAGUUUAGAUAGUAGGUGUGUAUUUUCUUCCUAAAGGGUUUUCUAAAGAUUUGCUGGGGAAUGGAUUAAUUUACCUUUGAUUUAACAACACACAUAGCAUAUAAACACUUAUAUCACAUAAGAUGAUUAUAUCACACGAUAAUAAAAUAAUAAAUAGCGUGUUCUAGUUGGGUGACCUUUUUAAGCCAAGGGUUGGCCUAAUGUCACAUAAUUGAGAUUAUGAUAAAUUGAUCCAAGCCAUUAAUUUGAUACAAACUUUGAGUUUGAAAAUAAAAGUGCCCAUUUUCCAAACUCGCGGUAUCACAAUUGGACUUGGAUCAGUUUAUUACUUCCACAUGCACAUAAUAUGAGUGGUUGUCGUCGGGUCAUAAACCCAUUUGACAUAAGGGCAUUUCCUAUGUUCGUGGAAUGACAUCUUGGGUCAAACCACCUCAGGCUUAUGCAUGCAUGACCUAAAUCGAGGGUGGUAACGCUCUAUCUUUAGUUUUGCUAAGAUUUGGAUAGACACGGACUUGAAUUUCCUAUAUGAGUAGGCACGUGGUCCCACGAUAGUAAAACUCUCGCUUACCCUACGUAUGCGGCAACUCUCUAAAAUAGGUGAUUUGAAAGAAUUUUGAAAAAGUACAAUGUACAAUCUGCGUGUACAAUGUGUGUGGGUGUCAAUUUUUCGAAGUGAAGAAAAUAUGAACGGGUUUAUAUGAAAUUCAACAAAUAAACACGUAAUAGUCAGCCACAACAAGUUAGAAAAUUUCUUUUGGUUCGAACCUAGAUAUAUCUCCAGCAGAGUCGUCAUUUCUGUUUUAUCCCUUUUCGAAUUUUAUUUUAAAGAAAAUGAUUUUGACCCCUUAUAAACUAUUUCGAAAGAUUCAAGAGAGUUUCGAAAUAAUUUUUGACAAAAUUUAUAGAUUUGCCACUUGAUUUUUUAUCGAAAACAUUAAGAAAAACUUUAAAGGGAUUUCAAAGAUUUAAUAACAGAAAUAAGUCUUCGAAAUCAGAGAAACUAAUUAAGGGUUCAAUUAACGUCCUAAGAAAGUUUUUACGACGCUUAGGAGCAUCCGUUUUAAAAAGGUUAACCAAAAUACUUAUUUUUGACUAACUUAAAAGGGUGACUAACUUUACAAAAAAGAAAAACAAUUACUUGUAUAAAAUUAUUUAUUUACAUGUUCAAAAUUUGGCAUCUUGUUUGUUUCAACGAAAAAUAGUCUACUUCAAUUAGAAAGAAGUUGCAACAUGUUUCGCUUGACCCAUUAUUAAUUUUGAAAGAAAAAUACUAAAUAUCUCGCUUAAUUCAUGAUUAAUUUUUGAGAGGCAUUACAAAAUACUUUACUUAAUUCAUGAUUAUUUCUAACAAAGGAUAUGAAAUAUCUUAUUUGAAUUAAAAGAAACCUAUCUAGACUAGGUGACACAUUUGAAUUUAAAAAGAAAAUAAGUUGAUUUUUAUGGGGAAAGAGGAUCUACUUAUUGUCGUAAGAAUGGUCAUUUUGUUAUGGCUAACACCUUUGGAAAAAUAUUAAGAAAGUAUCAUAUUAAAACAUUUUAUCGAUUGUUGAAAGUUAGACUUUACGAGAAAACAACUUUUCGAGUUUGAAGAGAAUUAUAUGCUCUUUUUUACCCAAGUAGACUAUUUAGUCAUGUGAACAAAACAAAUAUAAUUUGAACUACGAAUUCAUUUUUUUAUUUCGUUUUAUGAAUUCCGUGGGAAAAAUUAUAUGAUAAAUGAGAGAUUCAAGAUAAAUGAAAAAAAUCACUAGGUUAAUUAAGUAGAAUUAGAAUUAAUACAAAUAGACAAGCAUAAAUUCCAAAUUAUAAGUAAAUAAGAAAUUAAAAGUUAGAAUUGGGCCCCUUUUAUUAGCCCAUAAAUGGGCUGCCCAACUUGGGCUUUCUAUUUUAUGGAUUUUUAAGUCCAUUUUUAUACAUUGUAUACCACAGGCAUAUCAGCUCCUUUUUCUUAUGUUUUCCGUGUAUGUACAGCGUAUACAAGACCGUAUUUCAAUCAUGUACAUGCAAUUUCAGCCCUCCAAACAUAUAAUCGGCUUUCUUUUCCAUUUCCAGCCGCAUAUAACAUGUAUACCAGCCUCUCUGAUUGUAUAUCACUGCGUACACAAUGUAAAAAUAGUCUUCUUGGGACUUGGACUCAGGUUUUCGACUCGAUAUUGGUUGGACCCAACGAGGAUGCAAGGACAGAGUCCAAGAGGACUCAAACGAGUUCAUGCACAAGAGGUAAAAGGAUAAGAAUUGGUAUCCAUAUGAUACGAGCAUGCAAUAAGGAUGAGAAUUAACCGAACAAAAGAAACAACAAAGCUAAUGCACUUUUGUUCCCCAUGAAACAAAUCAUAAUACGUAAUUACGACUCAAAUUAUGACUUUCCAUUCACAUUUUUAAUAUACUUUAAAUCAAAUAUAUAUAUAUAUAUAUAUAUAUAUAUAUAUAUAUAUAUAUAUAUGUUAGNNNNNNNNNNNNNNNNNNNNNNNUAUAUAUAUAUAUAUAUGUUAGCACAUUUAAUUAAUAAAUUGGGUAAAGAUGUUUCAUAAUUAGGUGAUAAAAGAGUAAAACAACAUAUAUGUUGGUAUGAAUUUGGUACACUGGUAAGCUUUUGUAGAUGAGUCAACAUAACACAAUUUGCCAUUUUAAGGAAUAGAUACCCAACAAAACUGAUUGUUCCUGUAUAUGCCAAAGACACAAACUUUCUGAACCUAACACUUGAGUAAAUAAAAGGCAUUACCAUUAAAAUGCAUGAAUCAAAGAAAAAGCACAUGAUACAGAUUCUACACAACCAAAAAUAGGACUCCAACACCUUUCUAGCAUGCAUAUAUGACACAAGACACCACAUUCCUAAAAAACUGAUAUGAACAAACUAGCAUUUCGUCAAAACACAUAAAUCGAGAAAACCAAAUGCAAUUUCAACAUAUUAAUCUAAUUAACAAAAACAAUGCAAGACAUGUAUUUCCUGCAAGUGAAGUAGUCAAGAUUUAGAGCAUAUAACAGGACACCACAUAACCACUGUUCUACCAUGAAUCUACUUUAACACAAAGCCCGGAAAAGAUAAAACACACAAGAGAGAAAAUGACAUUCUUAGCUUUUGUGAGCAUGACAUAAUGGUGAACCAUACUUUCUUCAUAUAAUUCAAAACAACCCACAUACCAACAACACACUGUCGAAAGUUAGAAAUUUCCAACAAUUCACACAUAAUCGAAAAACCUCUUAAUUCCGAUCGAUUCUACUAUCAUUACCACACAACAAUACAACCAGACCAGUCCACGUCCACAAUCAUUGCAACAUUUUCAUAUUUACGACAUUCAAACGUGAAGAAAAAGAAUGUAACAAAGUUGAAUGUCCCCCUGUUUUCGAGCAGAGACACCGGGACGAUGAGCUUUUACUCGAAUGAGAUUCCACCAGUUGAUUCUAACCAACAGAAUUUGAACAAGAACGUCGAAUUUAGAUGGUCUAAGAGAAUUUUGGUUUCGUGAGGUUAAAGGCAAGCACCUUCACAACCCCCAAUUUUUCCCUAAAAAUCCUCUUCUUACCCCUUCUCCUUAGCAUCUAUUUAUAGGGAAUUUCNNNNNNNNNNNNNNNNNNNNNNNNNNNNNNNNNNNNNNNNNNNNNNNNNNNNNNNNNNNNNNNNGGAUUUUGAAAUCCACAAUAACAGAAAUGCAGACUGAAAUUUGCACCAAAUUGGUACAAAAUUCAGAACGGAAAAGUAAGAAGGGAAGAAAAGGGACCGAAUUUGGACAUUUGCAUUAAAUUGAAGUUUUUCUCCCACCUUAUUUUGGUGCGAUUUUGCCAAACACAUACACACAUAACCUGAGUGAGAGAAAAAAGGUGAAAUUCUAACCAAGAAGAGGCUGGACACGGGGAUAAAUUGGUAAUAAAGUAAAGGAGGGACAACUGGGUUUUUCGCCGUUGAACGCUGUUGCUGUUACGCGGUGGUUUUGUUACAGCGUUGGAACUGUUGUUUGCGGUACAGUGUACAACACUGAUUGUUGCUGGUGUACGCGUUGUUGAACGCCGUUGAUGUUGUCGGCUGUUAUGGUCGCUGUUGGUCGUUGUUUUGGCUGAGGCUGAUAACGUUGGUUCAGUGUUGUUGUACGCUGUUUAAGGGUAAUUAAGGAAAAGGGGAAAUAAGGGCUUUGGGCCGGGUCGGUUUGGUGGAUUGGGCUGGUGAGCGUAAGCUGCUGUUGUUAUUGUUGAUGGGAAUUGGGCUGUUAGCCCAAUUUCGAAGAGGAUUGGGUCGGGUUUAUAAUGGACUGGGCUGGGGUUAUGGGCUGAUUAUGGAUAAUUAUAAGUAUAAAUAACAUAAAUAUCAAUCUUUUAAAAGUAAUUACACUCUCUUCCAUUUUUUAAUUACUUUACUCUCUCU